rnacentral:sRNA from 1 species
UAGCUCAGUUGGUAGAGCAGUUGACUUUUAAUCAAUUGGUCGCAGGUUCGAAUCCUGCACGACCCACCAAUCGUUCUGGUGGAACGCGAUAGUAAAACGUGAAGGAUAACGUUGCGUUAGCAACGGCCCGUAGGGCGAGGCAAAGCCGAGUCAUCCUGCACGACCCACCA